rnacentral:rRNA from 1 species
CAGUCGCCGCGGUAAUACGUAGGGUGCGAGCGUUAAUCGGAAUUACUGGGCGUAAAGCGUGCGCAGGCGGUUUUGUAAGACAGGCGUGAAAUCCCCGGGCUCAACCUGGGAAAGGCGCUUGUGACUGCAAAGCUAGAGUGCGGCAGAGGGGGAUGGAAUUCCGCGUGUAGCAGUGAAAUGCGUAGAUAUGCGGAGGAACACCGAUGGCGAAGGCAAUCCCCUGGGCCUGCACUGACGCUCAUGCACGAAAGCGUGGGGAGCAAACAGGAUUAGAUACCCCUGUAGUCCCUGUCUCUUAUAC